rnacentral:ncRNA from 1 species
ACAAAAGCGUUGACGAGGAGGAGUACAUGUUAUUCCGGAUGAACAGAGAGAAGAUGGCUGGUGAAAAUCUUCGUGAUGGGAACAUGGAAGUAGCCUUUGAGCUUUGGAUUGAACGGAUAGAUUCUUAGUAGACUCCAACGGAGAUUUCCACCGUUAUCAGGGAAAGCGGUAUCGGAGCAUAGUUGUUCCCGUAUUGUAUGAGUGCAGAAGUCUAUUCUGAAAUUAGGUGGUACCACGGACACGUUUCGCCCUAAGC